UACGUAUGGAGCAAGCGUUAUCCGGAUUUACUGGGUGUAAAGGGAGCGCAGGCGGCUUUGCAAGUCUGAUGUGAAAGGCCGGGGCUCAACCCCGGGACUGCAUUGGAAACUGUAAAGCUAGAGUGCCGGAGGGGUAAGCGGAAUUCCUAGUGUAGCGGUGAAAUGCGUUGAUAUUAGGAGGAACACCAGUGGCGAAGGCGGCUUACUGGACGGUAACUGACGCUGAGGCUCGAAAGCGUGGGGAGCAAACAGG
rnacentral:rRNA from 1 species